rnacentral:lncRNA from 1 species
AGCUGCACAACAAAAAAUUCUUAAGAAGCUUUAGAAAUUGGUUCCUUCUCUAUUUAUCAUGCCUAUAUGGACAAAGUUUGGGUUUGUAAGGAGUUGGAUUCUCGGGUAAAUGCUGCAAUCAACUUGUCCUUGGUAAGCUGUUCAGAUCCUUCUGACUUAAUUACAAAAUUAUGGUAGAUAGUAUCAUUUGCAGCAGCAAGUUUCGACUCUACAACACUGAUUUGUGCCUCUUUGAAUGUUUCGAUUACUUUCGAAACAGGAUGAGUAUCAAGAGAACAGCUCACCUUUACGAUUACCUCAUCUUGAGAAGCUUGAAUAUCCACAUCCGGAGGAGGAACUCUAGUAUUCUGAUGACGAUUUUCUGAUCUCGAGUUGGCCAAUCCAUCCCUGGAAGUACUGCUUCCAAAU